CCGAACUCUCUUCCCCAAACUACCCAUCCCAUCUCUCGCGAGAAAAAUUCCCUACCGCCGUCCAGAUCGGAGAUCACCUCGGCCUCCUCCACCACGCGCCCGCUUCCUCCCAUGGUCGUGUCCUCCCGACCCACCCUCCUCUUCGCUCACCACGCCGGCACAGGCGGUCACGCGGGCGUCCAUUGAUCUGCAACUGUCACCGCCUUCAUAACGCUCAAGCGCCGCCCACGGAUAGACGAUGGCUUCAGCCGUGUCAACGAGGUCGAGGAGUCCCUUGACCUAGCCCUUGCCCUCACCUUCGUCGGAGGCCUCGCCCAUCUCGAUGGGGCCGAUUACUUAUCUCUCGGGGAUGCCCUGCCCUCCCCUGGCGUGCUGGGGACCGAUGAUGCCCUGCCUUCCCCUGGCGUGCUGGGGAUCUGGUGGCGCCCGUCGAACAUCGAGAGGUGGCACAGCCCCGCCACACACUUGUUCCUCCUCCUCAGGAUCCUCAAUUCCUCAUCUAAAAGCUGUGAUAUUUCCCUCCUUCAUGGAUGUAUGGAACUGCGUGAAUGGGACAGCGAAGCCACUGUCAUGAAACUUGCAGAAUGAUGAUAGAGAUAUCGAAAGAUUUUCUAAAAUGAGGUGUGAAAUAAAAGGCAAAUGUGAAGCUCUUGCAUCAAUCCUCAGACUGAUUCCUGCAAAUUUUCCUACAGAACUACAACAUGGUAGUCUUGAAUAUGGAGAUGACAAGAUCGAAAAGGACGGUGAUAUAAGGAAAGCGGGGAGUGGAGGAGGAAGAAAGUUGGGAUGCCAAUUAUAAAUAGGUUAAUACUUCAAAUCUUUAUGCACUGAGGUAUUCUUUGUGUUAGAAAUAAUUGUUUAAAAGGCUCAUGAUUUUGGCGAAACUGUAUGAUGUAUGUGUGUUCCUUCACAUGGACAAAUAUGAAAGGGUACCCAUUAUGAAAUCAUAGACCAGUGAUGUAUCAUUUCUUUGUCUUUCUUAUUGCAAAUAUGGCUCACAUGGCCGCGCUCUGCAGAAUAUAGAGUUUGAUGAUGAUGAUGAUUGGAACCAAGAGGAGGAAGCAAGCAGGAGCCAAGAACAUCUGUGUGACAUGGAAGCUCUUAACAAUGGUUAGCGUAUGGUUCGCAAGUUAUUUCUCUGGUUCAUCUCAAAUUGAGCGUCUUGAUACUUCAUAUGAAUAUUUGGUUGUAACAAAUUGUUUUCCGCAAGUCACAAUUUUUUGUAUGCAAGAAAUAUGUAUAAAAUUCCUCAAAGCAUUGUAGAUAAGCAGCUUCAUAUGUCUGAGUGUCUGAUAUGCCUUUCUUUUUCAGUUUUUCCUGCCAGAAAGAAAGCAAGUGACCUAUUUAAUCUCAGAGAUAUGUCCCAUUAUCAGUUUUGAGGAGUCAUUGUUCCAGUCACACAAAAUGUUGACAGAUGUAUCAUUUACAAUGACCAUUCAAUUGUAAUUUCAGUGCCAUGUCAUAAAAUUUCAAUUCACCAGUUCAGCCCCUUCCAUAAGAUAUUGGAUCAACAGUUGGAAGUGAACCGUGCAAUACAUCACUCUAAUAUUAGUUAUAAUCGGCUGACCAUGUAGGAUGUACCGCUUGUGAUGUAUUACACUCCAUAUCUCCUUACAAUUUGUAGCGUGAAAUUUUUAUUCCUCUCAUUUGUCCAUUUUUUUGUUCUAUCUCUUAAACUGGUGAAUAGGAAGUUAUGUUGUU